rnacentral:rRNA from 1 species
GAUGAACGCUAGCGGGAGGCUUAACACAUGCAAGUCGAGGGGCAUCACGAGGUAGCAAUACUUUGGUGGCGACCGGCGCACGGGUGAGUAACACGUAUGCAACCUUCCCUGUACAGGGGGAUAACCCGGAGAAAUUCGGACUAAUACCCCAUGAUGAUAUUUAUGGGCAUCCAUUAAUAUUUAAAGCUCUGGCGGUACAGGAUGGGCAUGCGCGACAUUAGCUAGUUGGUAAGGUAACGGCUUACCAAGGCUACGAUGUUUAGGGGACCUGAGAGGGUUGUCCCCCACACUGGUACUGAGACACGGACCAGACUCCUACGGGAGGCAGCAGUGAGGAAUAUUGGUCAAUGGGCGCAAGCCUGAACCAGCCAUCCCGCGUGAAGGAAGAAUGCGCUACGCGUUGUAAACUUCUUUUCCAGGGGGAGAAUAAUCCUGUCGUGACAGGACUUGACGGUACUCUGGGAUAAGCAUCGGCUAACUCCGUGCCAGCAGCCGCGGUAA